CACGUAGGGCGCAAGCGUUGUCCGGAAUUAUUGGGCGUAAAGAGCUCGUAGGCGGUUUGUCGCGUCUGCUGUGAAAACUCAGGGCUUAACCCUGAGCCUGCAGUGGGUACGGGCAGACUAGAGUGUGGUAGGGGAGAUCGGAAUUCCUGGUGUAGCGGUGGAAUGCGCAGAUAUCAGGAGGAACACCGGUGGCGAAGGCGGAUCUCUGGGCCAUAACUGACGCUGAGGAGCGAAAGCAUGGGGAGCGAACAGG
rnacentral:rRNA from 1 species